rnacentral:rRNA from 1 species
UACGUAGGGGGCUAGCGUUGUCCGGAUUUAUUGGGCGUAAAGAGCGUGUAGGCGGCCAGGUAGGUCCGUUGUGAAAACUCGAGGCUCAACCUCGAGACGUCGGCGGAAACCCUCUGGCUAGAGUCCGGAAGAGGAGAGUGGAAUUCCUGGUGUAGCGGUGAAAUGCGCAGAUAUCAGGAGGAACACCAAUAGCGAAGGCAGCUCGCUGGGACGGUACUGACGCUAAGGCGCGAAAGCGUGGGGAGCGAACAGG